GGGGGAUUUGUUGGGCGGCGAGCGGCGGACGGGUGAGUAAUGCCUAGGAAAUUGCCCUGAUGUGGGGGAUAACCAUUGGAAACGAUGGCUAAUACCGCAUGAUGCCUACGGGCCAAAGAGGGGGACCUUCGGGCCUCUCGCGUCAGGAUAUGCCUAGGUGGGAUUAGCUAGUUGGUGAGGUAAGGGCUCACCAAGGCGACGAUCCCUAGCUGGUCUGAGAGGAUGAUCAGCCACACUGGAACUGAGACACGGUCCAGACUCCUACGGGAGGCAGCAGUGGGGAAUAUUGCACAAUGGGCGCAAGCCUGAUGCAGCCAUGCCGCGUGUAUGAAGAAGGCCUUCGGGUUGUAAAGUACUUUCAGUAGGGAGGAAGGUUCAUGCGUUAAUAGCGUAUGGAUUUGACGUUACCUACAGAAGAAGCACCGGCUAACUCCGUGCCAGCAGCCGCGGUAAUACGGAGGGUGCGAGCGUUAAUCGGAAUUACUGGGCGUAAAGCGCA
rnacentral:rRNA from 1 species